AUCACUUCUCGGCCUUUUGGCUAAGAUCAAGUGUAGUAUCUGUUCUUAUCAGUUUAAUAUAUGCAACAGAAGGAAGAAAUGAGGGACAUCUCACUCAAU
rnacentral:snRNA from 1 species